rnacentral:rRNA from 1 species
UGGGGAAUAUUGGACAAUGGGCGCAAGCCUGAUCCAGCAAUGCCGCGUGUGUGAAGAAGGCCUUCGGGUUGUAAAGCACUUUUAUCAGGAGCGAAACGCUGUCGGCUAAUACCCGGCGGAACUGACGGUACCUGAGGAAUAAGCACCGGCUAACUUCGUGCCAGCAGCCGCGGUAAUACGAAGGGUGCAAGCGUUAAUCGGAAUUACUGGGCGUAAAGCGUGCGUAGGCGGUUUCUUAAGUCUGCUGUGAAAUCCCCGGGCUCAACCUGGGAAUGGCAGUGGAUACUGGGAGGCUAGAGUGUGUCAGAGGGUGGUGGAAUUCCCGGUGUAGCGGUGAAAUGCGUAGAGAUCGGGAGGAACAUCAGUGGCGAAGGCGGCCACCUGGGACAACACUGACGCUGAGGCACGAAAGCGUGGGGAGCAAACAGGAUUAGAUACCCUGGUAGUCCACGCCCUAAACGAUGCGAACUGGAUGUUGGCCUCAACUCGGAGAUCAGUGUCGAAGCUAACGCGUUAAGUUCGCCGCCUGGGGAGUACGGUCGCAAGACUGAAACUCAAAUGAAUUGAC